CUGGUUCAGAUACCCAAGGAUCGGGUGGUGAAGAGACUACAUUAAGGUUUUCGAUAUUGAGAAAGUGGUAUAAAGCCCUUGAAAGCUUAAGAGCUGAUAUUGAGUUUGCUAAGAAAAGGAGACUUUCAACUUCUGCUCCAAAGACAGUUAGUUCGCUCCAGAAUGGAGUUGUGUUCUCACUUAAUGGAUCAAAAUUCAUGAUUCUCUUCAGUUA